rnacentral:rRNA from 1 species
GCCGCCUGGGAAGUACGUACGCAAGUAUGAAACUUAAAGGAAUUGGCGGGGGAGCACCACAAGGGGUGAAGCCUGCGGUUCAAUUGGAGUCAACGCCAGAAAUCUUACNNNNGGAGACAGCAGAAUGAAGGUCAAGCUGAAGACUUUACCAGACACGCUGAGAGGUGGUGCAUGGCCGUCGCCAGCUCGUGCCGUGAGAUGUCCUGUUAAGUCAGGUAACGAGCGAGACCCCUGCGUCUAGUUGCUACCAUUACUCUCUGGAGCAGUGGAGCGAAUUAGACGGACCGCCACAGUUAAUGUGGAGGAAGGAAGGGGCCACGGCAGGUCAGUAUGCCCCGAAACCCUAGGGC